rnacentral:rRNA from 1 species
AUACGUAGGGGGCGAGUGUUGUCCGGAAUGAUUGGGCGUAAAGGGCGCGUAGGCGGCCCGGUAAGUCUGGAGUGAAAGUCCUGUUUUUAAGAUGGGAAUUGCUUUGGAUACUGUCGGGCUUGAGUGCAGGAGAGGUAAGUGGAAUUCCCAGUGUAGCGGUGAAAUGCGUAGAGAUUGGGAGGUACACCAGUGGCGAAGGCGACUUACUGGACUGUAACUGACGCUGAGGCACGAAAGUGUGGGGAGCAAACAGGAUUAGAUACCCUGGUAGUCCACACUGUAAACGAUGAAUGCUAGGUGUAGGGGGUAUCGACCCCUUCUGUGCCGCAGUCAACACAAUAAGCAUUCCGGCUGGGGAGUACGGACGCAAGGUUGAAACUCAAAUGAAGUGG